UACGGAGGGUGCAAGCGUUAUCCGGAUUUAUUGGGUUUAAAGGGUCCGUAGGCGGACCGGUAAGUCAGUGGUGAAAUCCUGCAGCUCAACUGUAGAACUGCCAUUGAUACUGCCAGUCUUGAAUAUGGUUGAAGUGGGCGGAAUAUGACAUGUAGCGGUGAAAUGCUUAGAUAUGUCAUAGAACACCGAUAGCGAAGGCAGCUCACUAAGCCACAAUUGACGCUGAUGGACGAAAGCGUGGGUAGCGAACAGG
rnacentral:rRNA from 1 species